rnacentral:tRNA from 1 species
GCUGAUGUGACAUAGUGGUUUGAGUGUUUGACUGCAACUCUGGAGACCAGGGUUCUAAUCCCAGCUCAGCC